GGAGGGGUGGCUGAGUGGUUUAAAGCGUUCGCUUGCUAAGCGAAAGAAUGUCAAAAUUCCGUAGGUUCAAAUCCUAUUCCCUCCU
rnacentral:tRNA from 1 species